rnacentral:rRNA from 1 species
GUUAGGAAUAUUGGACAAUGGGCGCAAGCCUGAUCCAGCCAUGCCGCGUGAGUGAUGAAGGCCUUCGGGUUGUAAAGCUCUUUAGCCGAUGAUUAUAAUGACUGUAGUCGGAAAAUAAGCCCCGGCUAACUUCGUGCCAGCAGCCGCGGUAAUACGAAGGGGGCGAGCGUUAUUCGGAAUCACUGGGCGUAAAGCGUGCGUAGGCGGUUUUGUAAGUUAGGAGUGAAAGCCCAGGGCUCAACCCUGGAAUUGCUCUUAAAACUACAAGGCUAGAAUGUCGGAGAGGAUAGCGGAAUUUCCAGUGUAGCAGUGAAAUGCGUAGAUAUUGGAAGGAACACCAGUGGCGUAAGCGGCUAUCUGGACGACUAUUGACGCUGAGGCACGAAAGCGUGGGGAUCAAACAGGAUUAGAUACCCCGGUAGUCC